UCUUAUUGGAAACACAGGAGACCAGAGUAAGAUUAUUAUAAAAUCCAAACACUGAUGAAUCAGUUGAUCUCUGUUUUGAUGGUUGAAAAUUCUUAGGAAUCUCUGAUUUAUUUUUCUUGAUGGUGCCAACAAUGGUCAGGUUAUGCUGGAGCAUUUCCUUUCCAACGAGUACACUCGUAGAAAUAAUUGCCCAUGGUAACACUCCAUCCAGAACCACUAUAAGACUGUUCUCCACGUCGGUUUUAAACAAGUUAGUAGCAGUUGAUGUAAGAUGGUCCAGUUCAGAAACAAGGAUUCAAACUCAUCACCUUUUCAUUGUGGCCUCAUCCAAUUCCACAUGACUCUGCAGUGCUGAGAAAUCUAGUUAAAAAGGCAAGGCUCCAUAAACAGGGUAUGUAAGUAGUAGGGGUUUGUCACGCGAAUUCUGAACUUUCAGAAUUUGAUGCAGAAUCUUCACAACCAUAGUUUAAUUUUGUUUUCUCCGUAAUGUGACUAAUUUCUUCUUCAGUAAUCUCUGUAUUGCUUAUAAUAAUUAUCUGGAGUUUGCUCGAUAGGUUUAUCAUUAUUGGUGUAUAUAUAAAUUGUUGUCAUAUUCAUGUCUAUAUCUUUUAACACAGGAUAAUUGAAACAUCCAUGAUGUUAUUAAACACCUCUUGUUAUACUAUUGUAAAUCAGCAAUAAUUAUAUUGUUUUUAUUGGGAAAUACGUGAUAUCUUCCAACAAUAAGUCAGGAAUUAUAUUGUUUUCUAUAAGAAAUACAUGAUAUCUUCCAACAAUAAGUCAGGAAUUAUAUUGUUUUCUAUAAGAAAUACACCAUAUCUUCUAACAAUAAGUCAGGAAUUAUAUUGUUUUCUAUAAGAAAUACAUGAUAUCUUCCAACAAUAACAGGAGUUAUAUUAUUUUCUAUUAGGAAAUACACAAGUCUUC